rnacentral:lncRNA from 1 species
GUGGAACCUGCAUUAUUGAAGACCAUGCGUGCCUUGUCAAAGGAAAAUAAGGCUUAACCCAAAGCCCAGCAUCCUUGAGUAUGUCCUGUGAGAAUAGACUCAUAGGUGUUCAAUGUCAACUUGAACCUGUCUUUCAGGUAAAAGCUGCCGUUCCAGCAGAAGCAGCCUCCACCCUUCUCAGAAGACAUUUCUGUGUACUGAGAAGAGGAUCAGUCUCUCAGAGCCCCUCACUCCUGCCUUCUAAUGCGCAACCCCCUUUAAUGAGGACCAAAGCCUUUAAUACAACGAAAAAGGAAAUGUUUGGUGUAACCAAACCCCUAGGAAAGUAAACACUCUUUCCCAGCUUUAGGUUAAGGCAUGUGUGACUAAGAUAAAUUGUGGUCCUGGGCUGAAGUUUUCAUAGCAGGUGAAGGAUAGAGAUCAAGAGGUGGCAAAGAAGGAGGAGG